rnacentral:rRNA from 1 species
UUUCGAUGGUAAGGUAUUGGCUUACCAUGGUUUCAACGGGUAACGGGGAACGAUGGGUUCGGUUCCGGAGAAUGAGCCCGAGAAACGGCUCAUACAUCCAAGGAAGGCAGCAGGCGCGCAAAUUACCCAAUGCCAAUACGGCGAGGUAGUGACGAAGAAUACUGAUGCAGGGCUCUUUUGGGUCGUGCAAUCGGAAUGAGUACAAUUUAAAUCUCUUAACGAGGAACAAAUGGAGGGCAAGUCUGGUGCCAGCAGCCGCGGUAAUUCCAGCUCCAUUAGCGUAUAUUAAAGUUGUUGCAGUUAAAAAGCUCGUAGUUGAACCUUGGGCCGGGUGGGCAGGUCCGCCUCACCGCGUGCACUUGUCCCGCCUGGCCUUUCCUUCUGGAGAGACCCAUGCCCUUCACUGGGUGUGCGGAGGAACCAGGACUUUUACUGUGAAAAAAUUAGAGUGUUCAAAGCAGGCCUUUGCUCGAAUAUUCCAGCAUGGAAUAAUAGAAUAGGACGCGCGAUCCUAUUUUGUUGGUUUCUAGGACCGCCGUAAUGAUUAAUAGGGACAGUCGGGGGCAUCCGUAUUCAAAUGUCAGAGGUGAAAUUCUUGGAUUAUUUGAAGACGAACUACUGCGAAAGCAUUUGCCAAGGAUGUUUUCAUUAAUCAGUGAACGAAAGUUAGGGGAUCGAAAACGAUCAGAUACCGUUGUAGUCUUAACCGUAAACUAUGCCGACUAGGGAUUUGGCGGUGUUUCUAUCUUGACCCGCUAAGCACCUUACGAGAAAUCAAA